rnacentral:rRNA from 1 species
GAGCUUGCUUCUCUUGAGAGCGGCGGACGGGUGAGUAAUGCCUAGGAAUCUGCCUGGUAGUGGGGGAUAACGUUCGGAAACGGACGCUAAUACCGCAUACGUCCUACGGGAGAAAGCAGGGGACCUUCGGGCCUUGCGCUAUCAGAUGAGCCUAGGUCGGAUUAGCUAGUUGGUGAGGUAAUGGCUCACCAAGGCGACGAUCCGUAACUGGUCUGAGAGGAUGAUCAGUCACACUGGAACUGAGACACGGUCCAGACUCCUACGGGAGGCAGCAGUGGGGAAUAUUGGACAAUGGGCGAAAGCCUGAUCCAGCCAUGCCGCGUGUGUGAAGAAGGUCUUCGGAUUGUAAAGCACUUUAAGUUGGGAGGAAGGGCAGUUACCUAAUACGUGAUUGUUUUGACGUUACCGACAGAAUAAGCACCGGCUAACUCUGUGCCAGCAGCCGCGGUAAUACAGAGGGUGCAAGCGUUAAUCGGAAUUACUGGGCGUAAAGCGCGCGUAGGUGGUUUGUUAAGUUGGAUGUGAAAUCCCCGGGCUCAACCUGGGAACUGCAUUCAAAACUGACUGACUAGAGUAUGGUAGAGGGUGGUGGAAUUUCCUGUGUAGCGGUGAAAUGCGUAGAUAUAGGAAGGAACACCAGUGGCGAAGGCG